UGGGGAAUUUUGGACAAUGGGCGAAAGCCUGAUCCAGCAAUGCCGCGUGUGUGAAGAAGGCCUUCGGGUUGUAAAGCACUUUUGUCCGGAAAGAAAUCCUUGGCUCUAAUACAGUCGGGGGAUGACGGUACCGGAAGAAUAAGCACCGGCUAACUACGUGCCAGCAGCCGCGGUAAUACGUAGGGUGCAAGCGUUAAUCGGAAUUACUGGGCGUAAAGCGUGCGCAGGCGGUUUGCUAAGACCGAUGUGAAACCCCGGGCUCAACCUGGGAACUGCAUUGGUGACUGGCAGGCUAGAGUAUGGCAGAGGGGGGUAGAAUUCCACGUGUAGCAGUGAAAUGCGUAGAGAUGUGGAGGAAUACCGAUGGCGAAGGCAGCCCCCUGGGCCAAUACUGACGCUCAUGCACGAAAGCGUGGGGAGCAAAACAGGAUUAGAUACCCUGGUAGUCCACGCCCUAAACGAUGUCAACUAGUUGUUGGGGAUUCAUUUCCUUAGUAACGUAGCUAACGCGUGAAGUUGACCGCCUGGGGAGUACGGUCGCAAGAUUAAAACUCAAAGGAAUUGACGGGGUCAUAGCUG
rnacentral:rRNA from 1 species